GAGAGACUUUCAAAAACAUUACUCUUAAUUAUACUGAAUGUGAAGCCAGGAUAUGGCUUUUUAAAAGGCUUUUGGAUAAUUUCUAAAUUAGGAAAGAGGUUUAGUAAAACACACUUGUGUUAUUUUUUUUAUAGAGGAGGACCUUCACAUGCUAAGGUCAGGUUCAACAUUGCUGCGUGGAAUAGGUUUGUCAGAGGUGCAGCGGAUGGUUACUUAGCAGCAUCAGCACCUGACCUGCAGACAUGUGUUUCAGUCACGACACAGAAACUGAGCGAUGUAACCACAGCAGGGCAUAAGAGAACUUCUCUGUUUGCCUUUCAGAAAUCUGUCACCGCACCGCAGUGACUCUGUGUCUGCGUGUCAACCAAUCACUGAUAAUCAAUCCAAACAUGCCCCAUUAAAAAUUCCUCUCCAAACAAUCUCCAGUGCUAACAGUUUCCUCAUGUUGUUUGUGCAUGGCUGUCUCAUUGUGAAUUCAACAAAAUAACACCAUGGUAAUUGAUUCAGUAAUUUCAAUACUUUCCAUUAUAAACAAAUAAGCAGCAAAUAACUCAUUCAACACUGAUGUUUAGAGGGAAAUUGAUUAAGAAUUAGGGAUGCUCAAUAUAUUGGUACCAUAUUGGUAAUUAGCCAAAAUUAGUUUUAAUUUAUUGGUCAAUAUUGGAUAUAUAUAUUGGCAAGUGUUGGAUAUUUAAUUAUGCAUGUGCAUUUCUUACCUUUCAUACCUUUGCGGUCAUCUAACACUAGCUUAGUUAUUCUUUACAGACAUUUAAUAACACUGUAAAUGUAAUCUUUGAGUCAGAUAAAUGGUACAAAUAGUACAAUUAUAUUGUACAUUAAAAUGUUGUGAUGCUCACUUUUGGUUUUAUAAAUUUCGUUUUAUCAGUACCAGCUAGGAUUUUUAUAUCAGUGCAUCCCUACUAAAAAUUCUUUGCACCAUCUGAUAACGCCAUUCUUUGCACAAAAUGUAUUAUGUAAACUUAUGCAAAUCAGAUAUGGUGCAAAAAAAAAGAAUAGACCAGAGAAUUUGUAUAUGCAAAAACACUUGGAAGCAAACUGACAAUUUGCAUUUAACUUUCCAUUUGCACACAUAUUUCCAGUUUAAGGUGGAGAGUUGAUUCUGUUUUUGGUCUAGUGACAGUGGGAAAUAUCUGAAACUGUCAUAAUGUUCCAUUUUUACCAGCCUUUCUACUUAAAAAUUACUUAUUAUUCAUCUCUUUCCUGCCUCAGAGGCCAGGAUGUGGUCCAGAGGUGCAUGAGAAACACCCAAUUGCCUUAAAUACAUACACAUACACAUACACACACACACACACACACACACACACACACACACUUUGAAUAGUGCCAACAUCUUGAUUGUUCCAUUUGUCAUCCUUGUCUGUGUUAGAUUGGGAUCUGGUUCUCUAAUAACACUCUGCUCACUAGAUAGUAGUCGGGCAGAAGCAGCGCCCGUAACAUGCUGCCAUCCCGCACAUGUUCAAUAAUGGCUGUGUGAGUGUAUAAGACAAAGAUAGAAAGAGAGAGUUAAUGAAGGACGAAACUUGAAAGUGUAAUCUGGUUCCGGCUUCUGUUUCACACAAUUAAAAUAACAGUACUAAUCAAAAGGGGUUAGUAACACUUUAACCCUUUGGGGAAAAAAAAUACUCUUUUUGCAUUUAUUUGAUGAAAAAUACAGCAAAUAAAUCGGGAAAUAGUAUUAUAAUUUACAAUAACAUUUCUAUUUGAAUAAAUUUUCAAAUGCAAUUUAUUUCUGUGCUAGCAAAGCUGAACUUUCAGCAGCCAUUACUCCAGUCUUCAGUGUCACAUGACACGUUCCAGAAAUCAUUCAAGUACCCUCAUUUUGUAUUUUGAAAAUAUAUGAUCAAUUUUGUGGAAACUGUGAUUCUUUUUUUUUUUUUUUCAGAAUUCUUUGUAAGUAGUUACAAAAAGAACUGUCUAUUUAAUUAGUAAAAAUUAAGUAAAUUUUUAGUUNNNNNNNNNNNNNNNNNNNNNNNNNNNNNNNNNNNNNNNNNNNNNNNNNNNNNNNNNNNNNNNNNNNNNNNNNNNNNNNNNNNNNNNACACACACACACAACAUACACACACACAACUACACACACACACACACACACACACACACACACACAAGUGCGUAUAAACCACUGCAAUUUACAGUAUAUGAGGUGAAAGAUGCAUGUGUAUCCGCAUAAGCAAUUUCUAUCCCAUCAGCCUGCUGCAAGAACUAAAAGAAAUUCCUCAGAAAUGGGAACUGGAAGGUGAAAUAUUUAAAUCAUUUGUUCUCAUGGAAUUUUUUAUUUAUUUUAUUUUAUUUUUUUAAACAAAGAUAAACUUAAAAUAAUGUCAAAGCAGGGGUGUGUGU
rnacentral:lncRNA from 1 species